rnacentral:rRNA from 1 species
UACGUAGGAGCAAGCAGUGUCCGGAUUUAUUGGGCGUAAAGAGCUCGUAGGCGGUUCUGUAAGUCGGGUGUGAAAACUCCAGGCUCAACCUGGAGAUGCCACUCGAUACUGCGGUGACUUGAGUCUGGUAGGGGAGCACGGAAUUCCUGGUGUAGCGGUGAAAUGCACAGAUAUCAGGAGGAACACCGGUGGCGAAGGCGGUGCUCUGGGCCAGUACUGGACGCUGAGGAGCGAAAGCGAUGGGGAGCGAA